rnacentral:rRNA from 1 species
AGAGUUUGAUCCUGGCUCAGAUUGAACGCUGGCGGCAGGCCUAACACAUGCAAGUCGAGCGGUAGCACAGAGAGCUUGCUCUCGGGUGACGAGCGGCGGACGGGUGAGUAAUGUCUGGGAAACUGCCUGAUGGAGGGGGAUAACUACUGGAAACGGUAGCUAAUACCGCAUAACGUCGCAAGACCAAAGUGGGGGACCUUCGGGCCUCAUGCCAUCAGAUGUGCCCAGAUGGGAUUAGCUAGUAGGUGGGGUAACGGCUCACCUAGGCGACGAUCCCUAGCUGGUCUGAGAGGAUGACCAGCCACACUGGAACUGAGACACGGUCCAGACUCCUACGGGAGGCAGCAGUGGGGAAUAUUGCACAAUGGGCGCAAGCCUGAUGCAGCCAUGCCGCGUGUGUGAAGAAGGCCUUCGGGUUGUAAAGCACUUUCAGCGGGGAGGAAGGCGUUAAGGUUAAUAACCUUGGCGAUUGACGUUACCCGCAGAAGAAGCACCGGCUAACUCCGUGCCAGCAGCCGCGGUAAUACGGAGGGUGCAAGCGUUAAUCGGAAUUACUGGGCGUAAAGCGCACGCAGGCGGUCUGUCAAGUCGGAUGUGAAAUCCCCGGGCUCAACCUGGGAACUGCAUUCGAAACUGGCAGGCUAGAGUCUUGUAGAGGGGGGUAGAAUUCCAGGUGUAGCGGUGAAAUGCGUAGAGAUCUGGAGGAAUACCGGUGGCGAAGGCGGCCCCCUGGACAAAGACUGACGCUCAGGUGCGAAAGCGUGGGGAGCAAACAGGAUUAGAUACCCUGGUAGUCCACGCCGUAAACGAUGUCGAUUUGGAGGUUGUGCCCUUGAGGCGUGGCUUCCGGAGCUAACGCGUUAAAUCGACCGCCUGGGGAGUACGGCCGCAAGGUUAAAACUCAAAUGAAUUGACGGGGGCCCGCACAAGCGGUGGAGCAUGUGGUUUAAUUCGAUGCAACGCGAAGAACCUUACCUGGUCUUGACAUCCACAGAACUUUCCAGAGAUGGAUUGGUGCCUUCGGGAACUGUGAGACAGGUGCUGCAUGGCUGUCGUCAGCUCGUGUUGUGAAAUGUUGGGUUAAGUCCCGCAACGAGCGCAACCCUUAUCCUUUGUUGCCAGCGGUUCGGCCGGGAACUCAAAGGAGACUGCCAGUGAUAAACUGGAGGAAGGUGGGGAUGACGUCAAGUCAUCAUGGCCCUUACGACCAGGGCUACACACGUGCUACAAUGGCAUAUACAAAGAGAAGCGACCUCGCGAGAGCAAGCGGACCUCAUAAAGUAUGUCGUAGUCCGGAUUGGAGUCUGCAACUCGACUCCAUGAAGUCGGAAUCGCUAGUAAUCGUAGAUCAGAAUGCUACGGUGAAUACGUUCCCGGGCCUUGUACACACCGCCCGUCACACCAUGGGAGUGGGUUGCAAAAGAAAGUAGGUAGCUUAACCUUCGGGAGGGCGCUUACCACUUUGUGAUUCAUGACUGGGGUGA